rnacentral:rRNA from 1 species
GAUGAACGCUGGCGGCGUGCCUAAUACAUGCAAGUCGAGCGAACAGACGAGGAGCUUGCUCCUCUGCCGUAGCGGCGGCCGGGUGAGUAACACGUGGAUAACCUACCUAUAAGACUGGGAUAACUUCGGGAAACCGGAGCUAAUCCCGGAUACUAUAUUGAACCGCAUGGUUCCAUAGUGAAAGACGGUUUUGCUGUCACUUAUAUAUGGAUCCGCGCCGCAUUAGCUAGUUGGUAAGGUAACGGCUUACCAAGGCAACGAUGCGUAGCCGACCUGAGAGGGUGAUCGGCCACACUGGAACUGAGACACGGUCCAGACUCCUACGGGAGGCAGCAGUAGGGAAUCUUCCGCAAUGGGCGAAAGCCUGACGGAGCAACGCCGCGUGAGUGAUGAAGGUCUUCGGAUCGUAAAACUCUGUUAUUAGGGAAGAACAAAUGUGUAAGUAACUAUGCACGUCUUGACGGUACCUAAUCAGAAAGCCACGGCUAACUACGUG